rnacentral:rRNA from 1 species
UGACCUCGGAUCAGGUAGGAAUACCCGCUGAACUUAAGCAUAUCAAUAAGCGGAGGAAAAGAAACCAACAGGGAUUGCCUCAGUAACGGCGAGUGAAGCGGCAACAGCUCAAAUUUGAAAUCUGGCCGCAAGGUCCGAGUUGUAAUUUGUAGAGGAUGCUUUUGGCGAGGUGCCUUCCGAGUUCCCUGGAACGGGACGCCAUAGAGGGUGAGAGCCCCGUACGGUAGGACCACCAAGCCUCUGUAAAGCUCCUUCGACGAGUCGAGUAGUUUGGGAAUGCUGCUCUAAAUGGGAGGUGUACGUCUUCUAAAGCUAAAUACCGGCCAGAGACCGAUAGCGCACAAGUAGAGUGAUCGAAAGAUGAAAAGCACUUUGAAAAGAGGGUUAAAAAGUACGUGAAAUUGUUGAAAGGGAAGCAUUCAUGACCAGACUUGGGCUUGGUUGAACAUCCGGCGUUCUCGCCGGUGCACUCUGCCAGUCCAGGCCAGCAUCAGUUUGCCCCGGGGGAUAAAGGCGGCGGGAAUGUGGCUCCCUUCGGGGAGUGUUAUAGCCCGUCGUGUAAUGCCCUGGGGCGGACUGAGGAACGCGCUUCGGCACGGAUGCUGGCGUAAUGGUCAUCAAUGACCCGUCUGNAAACACGGACCA